GAUGAACGCUGGCGGCGUGCCUAAUACAUGCAAGUCGAGCGAAUGGAUUAAGAGCUUGCUCUUAUGAAGUUAGCGGCGGACGGGUGAGUAACACGUGGGUAACCUGCCCAUAAGACUGGGAUAACUCCGGGAAACCGGGGCUAAUACCGGCUAACAUUUUGAACCGCAUGGUUCGAAAUUGAAAGGCGGCUUCGGCUGUCACUUAUGGAUGGACCCGCGUCGCAUUAGCUAGUUGGUGAGGUAACGGCUCACCAAGGCAACGAUGCGUAGCCGACGUGAGAGGGUGAUCGGCCACACUGGGACUGAGACACGGCCCAGACUCCUACGGGAGGCAGCAGUAGGGAAGCGUCCGCAAUGGACGAAAGUCUGACGGAGCAACGCCGCGUGAGUGAUGAAGGCUUUCGGGUCGUAAAACUCUGUUGUUAGGGAAGAACAAGUGCUAGUUGAAUAAGCUGGCACCUUGACGGUACCUAACCAGAAAGCCACGGCUAACUACGUGCCAGCAGCCGCAGUAA
rnacentral:rRNA from 1 species